rnacentral:rRNA from 1 species
UACGUAGGGUGCGAGCGUUGUCCGGAAUUACUGGGCGUAAAGAGCUCGUAGGUGGUUUGUCGCGUUGUUCGUGAAAUCUCACGGCUUAACUGUGAGCGUGCGGGCGAUACGGGCAGACUAGAGUACUGCAGGGGAGACUGGAAUUCCUGGUGUAGCGGUGGAAUGCGCAGAUAUCAGGAGGAACACCGGUGGCGAAGGCGGGUCUCUGGGCAGUAACUGACACUGGAGGAGCGAAAGCGUGGGGAGCGAACAGG